rnacentral:rRNA from 1 species
CGAGCGAAGCAUUUAACAUGAAGUUUUCGGAUGGAAUGUUAUCUGACUGAGCGGCGGACGGGUGAGUAACGCGUGGGUAACCUGCCUUAUACAGGGGGAUAACAGUUAGAAAUGACUGCUAAUACCGCAUAAGCGCACAGUACCGCAUGGUAGUGUGUGAAAAACUCCGGUGGUAUAAGAUGGACCCGCGUCUGAUUAGCCAGUUGGCGGGGUAACGGCCCACCAAAGCGACGAUCAGUAGCCGACCUGAGAGGGUGACCGGCCACAUUGGGACUGAGACACGGCCCAAACUCCUACGGGAGGCAGCAGUGGGGAAUAUUGCACAAUGGGGGAAACCCUGAUGCAGCAACGCCGCGUGAGUGAAGAAGUAUUUCGGUAUGUAAAGCUCUAUCAGCAGGGAAGAAGAUGACGGUACCUGAUUAAGAAGCCCCGGCUAACUACGUGCCAGCAGCCGCGGUAAUACGUAGGGGGCAAGCGUUAUCCGGAUUUACUGGGUGUAAAGGGAGCGCAGACGGCAGUGCAAGUCUGGAGUGAAAGCCCGGGGCCCAACCCCGGAACUGCUCUGGAAACUGUGCGGCUAGAGUACUGGAGGGGCAGGCGGAAUUCCUAGUGUAGCGGUGAAAUGCGUAGAUAUUAGGGGGAACACCAGUGGCGAAGGCGGCCUGCUGGACAGUAACUGACGUUGAGGCUCGAAAGCGUGGGGAGCCCUUAAGAGAUUUUUUCUUCUNNUUCUCCNCNNCCNUNNNAGGACCCCUAUAGGAAGUGCGGGGUGCUUNGCUUCCCGGUGCCGCCGCAAACGCAUUAAGCAUUCCACCUGGGGAGUACGUUCGCAAGAAUGAAACUCAAAGGAAUUGACGGGGACCCGCACAAGCGGUGGAGCAUGUGGUAUAAUUCGAAGCAACGCGAAGAACCUUACCAAGUCUUGACAUCCUUCUGAAAGGCCCGUAACGGGGCCCGGCCUUCGGGACAGAAGAGACAGGUGGUGCAUGGUUGUCGUCAGCUCGUGUCGUGAGAUGUUGGGUUAAGUCCCGCAACGAGCGCAACCCCUAUCCCCAGUAGCCAGCAGUAAGAUGGGCACUCUGUGGAGACUGCCAGGGAGAACCUGGAGGAAGGCGGGGAUGACGUCAAAUCAUCAUGCCCCUUAUGAUUUGGGCUACACACGUGCUACAAUGGCGUAAACAGAGGGAGGCGAAGGAGCGAUCCGGAGCAAACCCCAGAAAUAACGUCCCAGUUCGGAUUGCAGGCUGCAACCCGCCUGCAUGAAGCUGGAAUCGCUAGUAAUC